AGCACACAAAUCCGGCGAAUGAGACACACCAUGACUUUCUGGCCCCGCUGCAUCGUUGUCACCUUGAGCUCUGGGUUAUUGGGUUUUCGCACUCUCGUCCUGCGUCCUUUUACAACAUCCUCGGCACUCCUGUGCUUCGGAAAAUGCAGCAGCACCUGCAACAGCAGUUGGUAGAUUGCUAGUUACAGCUAAAUACUAAAA
ensembl:ncRNA lncRNA:CR44780 long non-coding RNA:CR44780